rnacentral:rRNA from 1 species
AUUGAACGCUGGCGGCAGGCCUAACACAUGCAAGUCGAGCGAGCGGCGGACGGGUGAGUAAUGUCUGGGAAACUGCCUGAUGGAGGGGGAUAACUACUGGAAACGGUAGCUAAUACCGCAUACCAUCAGAUGUGCCCAGAUGGGAUUAGCUAGUAGGUGGGGUAAAGGCUCACCUAGGCGACGAUCCCUAGCUGGUCUGAGAGGAUGACCAGCCACACUGGAAAGGAGACACGGUCCAGACUCCUACGGUAGGCAGCAGGGGGGAAUAUUGCACAAUGGGCGCAAGCCUGAUGCAGCCAUGCCGCGUGUAUGAAGAAGGCCUUCGGGUUGUAAAGCACUUUCAGCGAGGAGGCGUUACUCGCAGAAGAAGCACCGGCUAACUCCGUGCCAGCAGCCGCGGUAAUAC